AAGACCUUGCACUUUUGGAGCGGCCGAUGUCUGAUUAGCUAGUUGGUGGGGUAAUGGCCUACCAAAGCUUCGAUCAGUAGCUGGUCUGAGAGGACGGCCAGCCACACUGGGACUGAGACACGGCCCAGACUCCUACGGGAGGCAGCAGUGGGGAAUUUUGGACAAUGGGCGCAAGCCUGAUCCAGCCAUGCCGCGUGAGUGAAGAAGGCCUUCGGGUUGUAAAGCUCUUUCAGCCGGGAAGAAAAGGUUGCGACUAAUAAUCGCAAUUCAUGACGGUACCGGAAGAAGAAGCACCGGCUAACUACGUGCCAGCAGCCGCGGUAAUACGUAGGGUGCGAGCGUUAAUCGGAAUUACUGGGCGUAAAGGGUGCGCAGGCGGUUUUGUAAGUCAGAUGUGAAAUCCCCGGGCUUAACCUGGGAACU
rnacentral:rRNA from 1 species